CACCAUUUUCAAUUCCUAUAGGAAUUCCUACAGGAGUUUUCAAUGCCUAUAGGAAUUCCUAUAGGAAAUUUCAAUUCCUAUAGGAAUUCCUAUAGGAAUUUCAAUGCCUAUAGGAAUUCCUAUAGGAAAAUUUAAUUCCUAUAGGAAUUCCAAUAGGAAUUUUCAAUGCCUAUAGGAAUUCCUAUAGGAAAUUUC